GUGAGGAAUAUUGGUCAAUGGACGAGAGUCUGAACCAGCCAAGUAGCGUGAAGGAUGAAGGUCCUACGGAUUGUAAACUUCUUUUAUAAGGGAAUAAACCCUCCCACGUGUGGGAGCUUGUAUGUACCUUAUGAAUAAGCAUCGGCUAACUCCGUGCCAGCAGCCGCGGUAAUACGGAGGAUGCGAGCGUUAUCCGGAUUUAUUGGGUUUAAAGGGAGCGUAGGCGGAUUGUUAAGUCAGUUGUGAAAGUUUGCGGCUCAACCGUAAAAUUGCAGUUGAUACUGGCAGUCUUGAGUGCAGUAGAGGUGGGCGGAAUUCGUGGUGUAGCGGUGAAAUGCUUAGAUAUCACGAAGAACUCCGAUUGCGAAGGCAGCACACUAAUCCGUAACUGACGUUCAUGCUCGAAAGUGUGGGUAUCAAACAGGAUUAGAAACCCCGGUAGUCC
rnacentral:rRNA from 1 species